AUCCAACUGACACGUCUCAGAUAGGACGAAACACGUGUCCUGGAU
rnacentral:hammerhead_ribozyme from 1 species